UGAUACUUUUAACACUUUUUCUUUAUAUAACUUUUUUCCUCUUUUGAGAAACAAAAUUAACUGUAUUUUAUUUCUCUUGCAUCAGUCUGCUUUUCUCUUCUACAUGCAUAGUCAGUAAUUCAUUAAUUAAUAAUUUAUUUUUAUGUGUAUUAUAAUAGAUCUGAAAUGGUCUGUAUUCAGAUGAUAAUGAGAUUAAAAUAAAGUGCACUAAGAAUGAAUUAGAGAUGGUAACUUCAAGUGCGGCGAGCUACACUACA
rnacentral:lncRNA from 1 species